CUGGGUGACGCCACGUUGCAGUGCCUGCCCCAGAGAGAACUGCAUGGACCAGGGAGCUGGUCCCAGAGCAGAAACAAUUGGUGAUGAGAUUUGGACUUCAGACAAGCCUAGAUUUGAACCUCACUUCUGCUACAUAUCAGCCAUCUGGCCAUCUGACUUCAUCUCUCUGAGCCCGUUCCCUCAUCUGAAAAACAAAUAUUGAUGCCUAAGG
rnacentral:lncRNA from 1 species